GGAGGGAUCAUUACCACGUUUCCAACGUAUCAAACAAACCGCGAACUUGUAAAACUUACCUAUACUGAACACUGGAUUGGAUAGCGCCUUGAUGGGUUACUGGGAAACCAGUGACGUGCGCUUGAGAGUCUACCAGAUGAAAUAAGCUGGAGGUAUUCUUUAUGGCUUUUUAAAUUCACCAUCAUAAAACUAUAUCUUAACGAUAUCACCUAUGCUAAUUGACUAACCCUUAACUUGCGUCUCGAAAGGGAACAAGUUGAAUCGUAGUUUAUCUAAACUAAGUACAACUCUUAGCAACGGAUAUCUCGGUUCUCGCGACGAUGAAGAACGCAGCGAAAUGCGAUAUGUAAUGCGAAUUGCAGAAUUCAGUGAAUCAUCAAAUCUUUGAACGCAAAUGGCGCUUUCGAGAACGCCUCGGAAGCACACCUCUCUGAGUAUCGGUUCGAACCUAACUCGGAUUCGUGAGUGUAUACACUCUGUAUCCGGAAUAUGAGUAGUCUGUGAUCAUUCAGUUGAACAUAGUCUCUUGAAAUAUGUCGAGUGGAUUUUUACCUGACCCUCUUCACUGUCACAGGUGAGGAUAGUUAAGUAGAACACUGAUGCCCGUAUAGGUCUUUUCAGUGAUGUGGAUAAUUGCCCUUUUGGGUUUAGAAACAUCAAUGCUGUUUAGAACUGGGUUAUCGUUGUUGUUUUACUUAGUGAAUGUUAGUGUUAAUUUAUUCAUGUCAAGCAAUGAACUGAUCGUAUGUAACAUACGAUUCUAAUCUUGAAUUAGAUCUCAGAUGAAGUGAGAAUACCCCCUGAAUUUAAGCAUAUUAAUAAGGGGAGGAAAAGAAACUAACAAGGAUUCCCUCAGUAACGGCGAGUGAAGCGGGAGUAGCUCAAUUUGAAAAUCGUGGAUCCAAGCGGGUCCUCGAAUUGUAACCUGUGGACGUGUGAUCAGCGUGUGAGCUCGGUGUAAGUCCUUUGGAACAAGGCAUCACAGAGGGUGAGAACCCCGUCGUGCACUGAGAUAUCGCCGCGUACGAUGCAUGUUCUUCGAGUCGAGUUGUUUGGGAUUGCAGCUCUAAAUGGGUGGUAAGUUUCAUCUAAAGCUAAAUAUUGGCGAGAGACCGAUAGCGAACAAGUACCGUGAGGGAAAGAUGAAAAGAACUUUGAAAAGAGAGUUAAAAAGUACUUGAAAUUGCUAAGAGGAAGCGCUGGCAAGCAGUGUAUCGUUUGGGUCAUAUUUGCCUUGAGCUACUUUACUCUUGUUCCUAGUGUUGGCAACUCACUAGGGGUAUCGAGUGGGGAUAGUUUGGGGUACUGUGAUUCUAACGGAGUCCGAAUGGAUUCGAAUCGAGAGAGAAGGGGGGAAGGAAGGUAGGGUAGGCAGCAGUGCAUACCUGUUAUAGCUUCCCUCUCUAUCUUGGUUUGGAUUGAGGAAUCUCUACCGGGUGCGCCACUAAGGCCUACUGACCGGCUCCAGUUAGGAUCAUAUGUAGACGAACAAUGUUCGGCUGCUUAUUGACGCCUAAUUCUGAGUCGACUCAGUUGAAGCAUCCGAACGAUUCGGACGAAAUGCUUGCCAUCGACCCGUCUUGAAACACGGACCAAGGAGUCUAACAUAUAUGCGAGUAGUGAGGUGGAAAACCUACAGUGCGGAAUGAAGUAAAGGUAACUUCGGUUACUGAGGUAGGAACCGGGUCACACCGGGGCACUAUCGACCGAUCAUCACUUGUGAGCGAUUUGAGUAAGAGCAUAUCUGUUGGGGACCCGAAAGAUGGUGAUCUAUGCCUGAACAGGGUGAAGCCAGGGGAAACUCUGGUGGAGGCUCGUAGCGAUACUGACGUGCAAUCGUUCGUCUGAUUUGGGUAUAGGGGCGAAAGACUAAUCGAACCAUUUAGUAGCUGGUUCCCUC
rnacentral:misc_RNA from 1 species